rnacentral:rRNA from 1 species
UAGUGAUUGAGUUUGAUCAUGGCUCAGAAUGAACGUUGGCGGCGUGGAUUAGGCAUGCAAGUCGCACGGGCCGCAAGGCCAGUGGCGCAAGGGUGAGUAAGGCGACGGUAACCAACCCCGGGAUUGGGGAUAGCCGUGGGAAACCGCGGGUAAUCCCCAGCGACGUCGGUCGGUGGCAUCACCGACAGACCAAAGUUCCGGCGUCCCGGGACGGGCCGUCGUGGUAUUAGGUGGUUGGCGGGGUGACGGCCCACCAAGCCUGCGAUGCCUACCGGGCGUGCGAGCGUGGCCCGGCACACUGGGACUGAGACACUGCCCAGACUCCUACGGGAGGCUGCAGUCGAGAAUCUUCGGCAAUGGGCGCAAGCCUGACCGAGCGACGCCGCGUGGAGGAUGAAGGCCUUCGGGUUGUAAACAAUCGAAUU